GGCCCUCACAAUGCUGAAUGGUCUACUUAU
rnacentral:piRNA from 1 species